CUCUACCCCUCCCAACCAGUUUUCCCCUCAGCUCCUCCUCUCCCCUCCCUCUCUGCUCCAUCAAGCCCCGCCCACAAACAGGCGCUCCUGCUCGCUCGUAUCGUUCCAAUUAAAUUCAGGUAUAAUGCAGAUAAAUACUUCAGAUAAUUACAAAUGGGGCCCAGUCAAGGUGAAAGUAAAAAGCAUUGGUGCUACUGUAGAUGCCAACAGACUACCAGCAAACACAAUGUUUGCAGGACUUCUACAACUAGGAUAAAGUGACAUAGUCCAGGACCCGAGGUCAACAGUUUAGCGGCGCUACAACACGCUACAGCAGGUCCGUUUGACAAGAAACACUUCUGUUACAGACACUUGGCUUACUUUGUUAAAGCGGUUUACCUGUCCAGCAGAAAGGUUACAGGGUCACCAAGAUCCCCAAGCGUCCCCCAUCGUUUAUGUUGACCCGGCUUUUUAGCUCUUGUCCAGUCUACCUCCUUUUUAAGCGCCUGUUAUUCCUCCAGAGUCUCCGGUAUUUACUUUGUUUUCUUGCUUGUGUCGGCAGUCAUGGCCAAAGGAGGAUUCAGACAAUUUUCCGAACUUUCUGGUUGGUUUCUACUGUCCGAUAUUGUAGCACGCUAACUUUGUUUGGGCUCGUGAACG
rnacentral:lncRNA from 1 species